CAGUCGCCGCGGGAAUACGUAGGGUGCAAGCGUUACUCGGAAUUACUGGGCGUAAAGGGUGCGUAGGUGGUUUUUUAAGUCCGUUGUGAAAUCCCUGGGCUCAACCUGGGAAUGGCAGUGGAUUCUGGAAAGCUAGAGUGCGGUAGAGGGUAGUGGAAUUCCCGGUGUAGCAGUGAAAUGCGUAGAGAUCGGGAGGAACAUCAGUGGCGAAGGCGGCCAUCUGGGACAACACUGACGCUGAGGCACGAAAGCGUGGGGAGCAAACAGGAUUAGAUACCCCCGUAGUCCCUGUCUCUUAUAC
rnacentral:rRNA from 1 species